AUUGAACGCUGGCGGCAGGCCUAACACAUGCAAGUCGAGCGAGCGGCGAACGGGUGAGAAAUGCAUGGGCACCUGCCCGUUAGAGGGGGACAACUACUGGAAACGGCUGCUAAUAACGCAUUCUAUCGGAUGAACCCAUAUGGGAUUAGCUAGUCGGUGGGGUAAAGGCUCACCUAGGCGCAUUUCUGUAGCUGGUCUGAGAGGAUGAACAGCCACACUGGGACUGAGACACGGCCCAGAUUCCUACGGGAGGCAGCAGUGGGGAAUAUUGGAAAAGGGGGGCAAGCCUGAUGCAGCCAUGCCGCGGGUGUGAAGAAGGCCUUAGGGUUGUAAAGUACUUUCAGCGGGGAGGCGUUACCCGCAGAAGAAGCACCGGCUAACUCCGUGCCAGCAGCCGCGGUAAUUC
rnacentral:rRNA from 1 species